CCCGCACGCCGGAAGACCAAGGGUUCCUGUCCAACGUUAAUCGGGGCAGGGUGAGUCGACCCCUAAGGCGAGGCAGAAAUGCGUAGUCGAUGGGAAACGGGUUAAUAUUCCCGUACUGGUGAUAAUUGCGAUGGGGGGACGGAGAAGGUUAGGCUGGCCGGGCGACGGUUGUCCCGGUUUAAGGAUGUAGGCAGGUGAAUUAGGCAAAUCCGGUUCACUAUAUGCUGAGGUCUGAUGACGAGUCACUACGGUGGCGAAGUAGCUUAUACCCCGCUUCCAGGAAAAGCCUCUAAGCUCUAGAUUAUCAUUAAUCGUACCCCAAACCGACACAGGUGGUCAGGUAGAGAAUACUCAGGCGCUUGAGAGAACUCGGGUGAAGGAACUAGGCAAAAUGGUGCCGUAACUUCGGGAGAAGGCACGCUGGCAUUAGGUGAAGUGGUUUACCCAUGGAGCUGAAGCCAGUCGCAGAUACCAGCUGGCUGCAACUGUUUAUUAAAAACACAGCACUGUGCAAACACGAAAGUGGACGUAUACGGUGUGACGCCUGCCCGGUGCUGGAAGGUUAAUUGAUGGGGUUAUCCGUAAGGAGAAGCUCUUGAUCGAAGCCCCAGUAAACGGCGGCCGUAACUAUAACGGUCCUAAGGUAGCGAAAUUCCUUGUCGGGUAAGUUCCGACCUGCACGAAUGGCGUAAUGAUGGCCAGGCUGUCUCCACCCGAGACUCAGUGAAAUUGAACUCGCUGUGAAGAUGCAGUGUACCCGCGGCAAGACGGAAAGACCCCGUGAACCUUUACUAUAGCUUGACACUGAACAUUGAGCCUUGAUGUGUAGGAUAGGUGGGAGGCUUUGAAGCGUGGACGCCAGUCUGCGUGGAGCCAACCUUGAAAUACCACCCUUUAAUGUUUGAUGUUCUAACGUAGCCCCAUUAUCUGGGGUGCGGACAGUGUCUGGUGGGUAGUUUGACUGGGGCGGUCUCCUCCCAAAGAGUAACGGAGGAGCACGAAGGUUGGCUAAGCAUGGUCGGACAUCAUGCGGUUAGUGCAAAGGCAUAAGCCAGCUUGACUGCGAGAGUGACGGCUCGAGCAGGUACGAAAGUAGGUCUUAGUGAUCCGGUGGUUCUGUAUGGAAGGGCCAUCGCUCAACGGAUAAAAGGUACUCCGGGGAUAACAGGCUGAUACCGCCCAAGAGUUCAUAUCGACGGCGGUGUUUGGCACCUCGAUGUCGGCUCAUCACAUCCUGGGGCUGAAGUAGGUCCCAAGGGUACGGCUGUUCGCCGUUUAAAGUGGUACGCGAGCUGGGUUUAGAACGUCGUGAGACAGUUCGGUCCCUAUCUGCCGUGGGCGUUGGAAGAUUGAAAGGGGCUGCUCCUAGUACGAGAGGACCGGAGUGGACGCACCACUGGUGUUCGGGUUGUCAUGCCAAUGGCAUUGCCCGGUAGCUAAGUGCGGAAGAGAUAACCGCUGAAAGCAUCUAAGCGGGAAACUUGCCUUGAGAUGAGUCUUCCCUGACUCUUUAAGGGUCCUAAAGGAACGUUUAAGACUAAGACGUUGAUAGGUUGGGUGUGUAAGCGUAGCGAUACGUUGAGCUAACCAAUACUAAUGAACCGUGAGGCUUAACCUGACAACACCGAAGGUGUUUUAG
rnacentral:rRNA from 1 species